AGCGAACGCUGGCGGCAGGCCUAACACAUGCAAGUCGAACGAACCCUUCGGGGUUAGUGGCGGACGGGUGAGUAACACGUGGGAACGUGCCUUUAGGUUCGGAAUAACUCAGGGAAACUUGUGCUAAUACCGAAUGUGCCCUUCGGGGGAAAGAUUUAUCGCCUUUAGAGCGGCCCGCGUCUGAUUAGCUAGUUGGUGAGGUAAUGGCUCACCAAGGCUGCGAUCAGUAGCUGGUCUGAGAGGAUGACCAGCCACAUUGGGACUGAGACACGGACCAAACUCAUACGGGAGGCAGCAGUGGGGAAUCUUGCGCAAUGGGCGAAAGCCUGACGCAGCCAUGCCGCGUGGAUGAUGAAGGUCUUAGGAUUGUAAAAUCCUUUCACCGGUGAAGAUAAUGACUGUAGCCGGAGAAGAAGCCCCGGCUAACUUCGUGCCAGCCGCCGCCGUAAGAC
rnacentral:rRNA from 1 species